rnacentral:rRNA from 1 species
UACGUAGGGAGCAAGCGUUGUUCGGAUUUACUGGGCGUAAAGGGCGCGUAGGCGGCGCGGUAAGUCACUGGUGAAAUCUCUGAGCUUAACUCAGAACGGCCAAGUGAUACUGCAGUGCUAGAGUGCAGAAGGGGCAAUCGGAAUUCUUGGUGUAGCGGUGAAAUGCGUAGAUAUCAAGAGGAACACCUGAGGCGAAGGCGGGUUGCUAGGCUGACACUGACGCUGAUGCGCGAAAGCCAGGGGAGCAAACGGG